rnacentral:tRNA from 1 species
AAAAAGAUAAGCUAAUUAAGCUAAUGGGUUCAUACCCCAUUUAUAAAGGUUCUAAUCCUUUUCUUUUUA